rnacentral:rRNA from 1 species
AGCGAACGUUUGCGGCGGGCCUAACACAUGCAAGUCGAACGGGCAGUCCCUUCGGGGGCUGUCAGUGGCGCACGGGUGCGUAACACGUAGGUAAUCAACCCUCGGGUUCGGGAUAACACUUCGAAAGGGGUGCUAAUACCGGAUGGCGACGAGCGUCUCCUCGGAGAUGCACGGGAAAGAUCCGCAAGGGUCGCCCGGAGGACGAGCCUGCGGCCCAUCAGCUUGUUGGUGAGGUAAUGGGCUCACCAAGGGCUAAGACGGGUAGCUGGUCUGAGAGGAUGAUCAGUCACACUGGAACUGAGACACGGUCCAGACUCCUACGGGAGGCAGCAGUGGGGAAUAUUGCGCAAUGGGCGAAAGCCUGACGCAGCCACGCCGCGUGAGCGAUGAAGGCCUU